AUGCAAAACUUUUAUUUCCAUGCUAGAAGAUCACCACUUUCAGUGGAGUUUUAUUUAUAUGAUGAGUUUAAGGAGAUGUCACUCUAUGAUUUUUGUGUGGUUUGCAAGUUGCCCUUUGAGGGCAGCAUCGAGGAACCACAUCCUAGUGAUGUGGAUGAAUUUAUUGAUAGAAUUGUUGUAGGGGAAACAAGAAAAGUUUCAGAUGCAAGGACUACUAGUGUACAUUUGCCCGUUCUAUGUUACUUUGCAAUAUUUGCUAGUCGAUGCUUAAUUGGUCGCAGGAACAAUGGGAGCCUUAGUGCUCCUGACCUUGCUAUUUUGCGCCAUGCUUUAUGUCGUGAUACAACUUCCAGUCUAGGCGCUAUGGUCGCUAAACGGUUGAGUCUGAACUGUUCAAAGGGCCCCAUCUUUGGAGGUAUCUUUGCUUCACGCCUUGCUAAACACUUUGAGAUACCUAUUAGGAAUUAUGAGAAAGAGGAAAAGCUUCUACCCACUAUUUUCUUAGACUAUAAGAGUAUGGUAGCACAUGAUUUUAUUGUUAAGGAUAAGAAGAAGAGACUUGAGUAUUACCUUGCCUGCACCCUCUUUGUUUAA
rnacentral:rRNA from 1 species